rnacentral:rRNA from 1 species
CAGUCGCCACGGUAAUACAGAGGGUGCGAGCGUUAAUCGGAUUUACUGGGCGUAAAGCGUGCGUAGGCGGCUUCUUAAGUCGGAUGUGAAAUCCCUGAGCUUAACUUAGGAAUUGCAUUCGAUACUGGGAAGCUAGAGUAUGGGAGAGGAUGGUAGAAUUCCAGGUGUAGCGGUGAAAUGCGUAGAGAUCUGGAGGAAUACCGAUGGCGAAGGCAGCCAUCUGGCCUAAUACUGACGCUGAGGUACAAAAGCAUGGGGAGCAAACAGGAUUAGAUACCCGCGUAGUCCCUGUCUCUUAUAC